GGAGAGCGGUUCGCGCGCUUCGGGCCUAGUCCGGACUCGCCGCCGCUGCCGCCAUAUUCCCGUGGCAUCUUCCUUACUUUGUCCAUCCUCCGGACUCGCGAUCUUCCUUCCGGAGCCAUGUCAGAAGGAGUGGACUUGAUUGAUAUAUAUGCUGACGAGGAGUUCAACCAGGAAUACCUCCACGGGCCCAUUCCCGAGAUUCUAGUGAUUCUGCUGAUGGACGGGCCACACCCUCUGAGAACCUUGUACCCUCAUCUGCUCGUGUGGAUAAGCCCCCCAGUGUGCUGCCCUACUUCAAUCGUCCUCCUUCGGCCCUUCCCCUGAUGGGUCUGCCCCCACCACCAAUUCCACCCCCACCACCUCUCUCCUCAAGCUUUGGGGUCCCUCCUCCUCCUCCUGGUAUCCACUACCAGCAUCUCAUGCCCCCACCUCCUCGAUUACCUCCUCAUCUUGCUGUACCUCCCCCUGGGGCCAUCCCACCUGCCCUUCACCUCAAUCCAGCCUUCUUCCCCCCACCAAACGCUACAGUGGGGCCUCCACCAGAUACUUACAUGAAGGCCUCUGCCCCCUAUAACCACCAUGGCAGGUAAGGACUAUCUUGUUCCUUUCAGAUUUGAGCCAGGGUAAAUAAGUGUAUUAAGCAUUUUAUUUUCCCUGAGAAAGUGAGCACUGAAUCCUUGUUCUUUCCCUUAUGGACAUUCUGUUAUCAUAGCAUUGACUCCUGGGAAGUAGUACCAUGUCCUUUAUACCCCUUUUUAAGGUGCUUAAUUAAAUUAAAUGUGGGAGCAGGUGUUAUGAAUGCUACAGAUGUCUAGCAUUGUUGUGUGUUAUGCCAAAAUUACAAAAGUAUUGUAGAGUACAGUAAAAAUAAUAAGGGGUGUGAGCAAUCAGGGAUGGUAUUUUCUCUGUACAGCCGAGAUUCGGGCCCUCCACCCUCUACAGUGAGUGAAGCCGAAUUUGAAGAUAUCAUGAAGCGAAACAGAGCAAUUUCCAGCAGUGCCAUUUCCAAAGCGGUAUCUGGAGCCAGUGCAGGGGAUUACAGUGACGCAAUUGAGACGCUGCUCACAGCCAUUGCGGUUAUCAAACAGUCCCGGGUUGCCAAUGAUGAGCGUUGCCGUGUCCUCAUCUCCUCUCUUAAGGACUGUCUUCAUGGCAUCGAAGCCAAGUCCUACAGUGUGGGUGCCAGUGGGAGCUCUUCCAGGAAAAGACAUCGGUCCCGGGAAAGGUCACCUAGCCGGUCCCGGGAGAGCAGCAGGAGGCACCGGGAUCUGCUUCAUAAUGAAGAUCGGCAUGAUGAUUAUUUCCAAGAAAGGAACCGGGAGCAUGAGAGACACCGGGAUAGAGAACGGGACCGGCACCACUGAGAAAGGUGGGGAGAAGCCCCGUUCCUGGCUGCUGGGGGAUUUUUUAUUAAAAAAAGAUUUAUAGUGAAAAGUUCUCUCUCUUGAAAGCAAAAGUAAAUGCAGCAAGGGUAGGGGGAACUUCUGAUUUACAUAACUGGAAUUUCAGGGCAGAUUUUCUGCACAUUUAUGGGGAGUCUUAUCCUGAGGUUCAGCUGUUUCUGCUUGUUUCUUGACUGCCUUAACCUGGUAUCUGAGUGAGAGUAUGGUGUCUGCGUUCAGGUACCAAUUUGAAUCCCAGUUUCUCCACUAAUAAUUGGCCAUAUUACUUUCUGUUCCACAGUUUCUUCAUUUGUAAAUGAAGAUAAUACAAGCAGCUGUCCCAGUGACUAGCUAAG
rnacentral:sRNA from 1 species